UGCACGACUGCCUGGUUCAACACAUGACUCAUUCAUCCUGGAACACAGCAGUGUAGGGAGCAGACUGCUGGCUGGCGCUGCACGCGAUGGCUGGCUUCUCGCAUGAGGAAUCGGACCCACAGCCCCGUGCGCGGCAUGAUGGCUAUCAUUGGGAGCAAGACUUCGGGAAGAUGUAAUGCGGCGUUUGUGAAGGCAGCAGUGCAAAGACAGCCUCAGUCAGAACCCGGCCACUUCCAGAGGCUGCAUGCACCCAGGACUUGCUGGUGCUGAGGACAACCCAGGCGCUAUUCAACCACCUCCUGCAACUCCUCACCACCUAUUGCUCCCAUUGUCUCUAGCUGGGGGACAACCAAACCAUUACAUUGUGCUUUGUCAAGUCAAACUUUUUUUCUCAGAAAUGCAAAUAAAAACCGCUUACCGUGUGUCGUCUUGGCCAUGUCUGUGUCUCCCUCUUUCUCAGACACCACCCCACACACACACUUGUUUCCCCCAGUAUUGAAGCCAUCCGGGUUUCAAUAGGUGUCAGCUUCGAUGUGCCUUCACCACCUCCGGUAGCAGACACACUCAUUUGAUGCGCUGCAAUUCUAUUUUUUAUAAUCACUUUCAAAUCCGACCACUUUUUGAAAAUUUUGGGCACUGUCCUGUUUGCAGCACUCACUUCAUUCACAGCAUUCGUUACCCGUUGCCACUCACUGCCUUUCUUUUUGUCACCCCACUACUGUGACCACCAAGUACAAAAUAUUUUUUCUGCUUUCCACUUCACCCACAAGCACAUCUAUCUCGGUUUCAGAGAAGUUUCUCUUUUUACUUUUCCCCUCGGUUGCCAUGAUGCCAUGAGUUUUUCAGGUUUAUAUCGGAUGCUUAAAUAUGCAUGAGGUGAUUUGCAUUGACCAUGCAUGGUUGAAGGGGGCGUGUAGAGGGCGAAAAAUAAAG